ACGAACGCUGGCGGCGUGCCUAAUACAUGCAAGUAGAACGCUGAAGAGAGGAGCUUGCUCUUCUUGGAUGAGUUGCGAACGGGUGAGUAACGCGUAGGUAACCUGCCUUGUAGCGGGGGAUAACUAUUGGAAACGAUAGCUAAUACCGCAUAACAAUGGAUGACACAUGUCAUUUAUUUGAAAGGGGCAAUUGCUCCACUACAAGAUGGACCUGCGUUGUAUUAGCUAGUAGGUGAGGUAACGGCUCACCUAGGCGACGAUACAUAGCCGACCUGAGAGGGUGAUCGGCCACACUGGGACUGAGACACGGCCCAGACUCCUACGGGAGGCAGCAGUAGGGAAUCUUCGGCAAUGGGGGCAACCCUGACCGAGCAACGCCGCGUGAGUGAAGAAGGUUUUCGGAUCGUAAAGCUCUGUUGUAAGUCAAGAACGAGUGUGAGAGUGGAAAAUUCACACUGUGACGGUAGCUUACCAGAAAGGGACGGCUAACUACGUGCCAGCAGCCGCGGUAAUACGUAGGUCCCGAGCGUUGUCCGGAUUUAUUGGGCGUAAAGCGAGCGCAGGCGGUUUGAUAAGUCUGAAGUUAAAGGCUGUGGCUCAACCAUAGUUCGCUUUGGAAACUGUCAAACUUGAGUGCAGAAGGGGAGAGUGGAAUUCCAUGUGUAGCGGUGAAAUGCGUAGAUAUAUGGAGGAACACCGGUGGCGAAAGCGGCUCUCUGGUCUGUAACUGACGCUGAGGCUCGAAAGCGUGGGGAGCGAACAGGAUUAGAUACCCUGGUAGUCCACGACGUAAACGAUGAGUGCUAGGUGUUGGAUCCUUUCCGGGAUUCAGUGCCGCAGCUAACGCAUUAAGCACUCCGCCUGGGGAGUACGACCGCAAGGUUGAAACUCAAAGGAAUUGACGGGGGCCCGCACAAGCGGUGGAGCAUGUGGUUUAAUUCGAAGCAACGCGAAGAACCUUACCAGGUCUUGACAUCCCGAUGCUAUUUCUAGAGAUAGAAAGUUACUUCGGUACAUCGGUGACAGGUGGUGCAUGGUUGUCGUCAGCUCGUGUCGUGAGAUGUUGGGUUAAGUCCCGCAACGAGCGCAACCCCUAUUGUUAGUUGCCAUCAUUCAGUUGGGCACUCUAGCGAGACUGCCGGUAAUAAACCGGAGGAAGGUGGGGAUGACGUCAAAUCAUCAUGCCCCUUAUGACCUGGGCUACACACGUGCUACAAUGGUUGGUACAACGAGUUGCGAGUCGGUGACGGCAAGCUAAUCUCUUAAAGCCAAUCUCAGUUCGGAUUGUAGGCUGCAACUCGCCUACAUGAAGUCGGAAUCGCUAGUAAUCGCGGAUCAGCACGCCGCGGUGAAUACGUUCCCGGGCCUUGUACACACCGCCCGUCACACCACGAGAGUUUGUAACACCCGAAGUCGGUGAGGUAACCUUUUGGAGCCAGCCGCCUAAGGUGGGAUAGAUGAUUGGGGUG
rnacentral:rRNA from 1 species